rnacentral:rRNA from 1 species
UACGUAGGGUGCAAGCGUUAAUCGGAAUUACUGGGCGUAAAGCGUGCGCAGGCGGUUUUGUAAGUCUGAUGUGAAAUCCCCGGGCUCAACCUGGGAAUUGCAUUGGAGACUGCAAAGCUAGAAUCUGGCAGAGGGGGGUAGAAUUCCACGUGUAGCAGUGAAAUGCGUAGAGAUGUGGAGGAACACCGAUGGCGAAGGCAGCCCCCUGGGUCAAGAUUGACGCUCAUGCACGAAAGCGUGGGGAGCAAACAGG